rnacentral:rRNA from 1 species
AUUGAACGCUGGCGGCAGGCCUAACACAUGCAAGUCGAACGAGUGGGGGACGGGUGUGUCAUGUCUGGGACACUGCCUUCAGGCGGGGGAUAACUCCUGGAAACGGUAGCUAAUACCGCAUACCUGCCGCUUUGCCCAGACGGGAUUAGCUAGUUGGUGGGGUAUCGGCUCACCAAGUCGACGAUCCCUAGCUGGUCUGAGAGGAUGACCGGCCACACUGGGACUGAGACACGGCCCAAACUCCUACGGGAGGCAGCAGUGGGGAAUAUUGCACAAUGGGCGCAAGCCUGAUGGAGCCAUGCCGAGUGUAUGAAGAAGGCCUUCGGGUUGUAAAGCUCUUUCAGAGGGGAGGCGGUACCCGCAGAAGAAGCACCGGAUAACUCCGUGCCAGCAGCCGCGGUAAUAC